UGGGGAAUUUUGGACAAUGGGCGCAAGCCUGAUCCAGCCAUGCCGCGUGCGGGAAGAAGGCCUUCGGGUUGUAAACCGCUCUUGUCAGGGAAGAAAUCUUCUGAGUUAAUACCUCGGGAGGAUGACGGUACCUGAAGAAUAAGCACCGGCUAACUACGUGCCAGCAGCCGCGGUAAUACGUAGGGUGCAAGCGUUAAUCGGAGUUACUGGGCGUAAAGCGUGCGCAGGCGGUUUUGUAAGACAGAGGUGAAAUCCCCGGGCUCAACCUGGGAACUGCCUUUGUGACUGCAAGGCUUGAGUGCGGCAGAGGGGGAUGGAAUUCCGCGUGUAGCAGUGAAAUGCGUAGAUAUGCGGAGGAACACCGAUGGCGAAGGCAAUCCCCUGGGCCUGCACUGACGCUCAUGCACGAAAGCGUGGGGAGCAAACAGGAUUAGAUACCCUGGUAGUCCACGCCCUAAAACGAUGUCAACUGGUUGUUGGGAAGGUUCCUUCUCAGUAACGUAGCUAACGCGUGAAGUUGACCGCCUGGGGAGUACGGCCGCAAGGUUG
rnacentral:rRNA from 1 species